CUGCGGCAGCGACACUGUGUGUUGUUGGGUAGGGGAGCGUUCUGUAAGCCUGUGAAGGUGUGUCGUGAGGCAUGCUGGAGGUAUCAGAAGUGCGAAUGCUGACAUAAGUAACGAUAAAGCGGGUGAAAAGCCCGCUCGCCGGAAGACCAAGGGUUCCUGUCCAACGUUAAUCGGGGCAGGGUGAGUCGACCCCUAAGGCGAGGCCGAAAGGCGUAGUCGAUGGGAAACGGGUUAAUAUUCCCGUACUUGGUGUUACUGCGAAGGGGGGACGGAGAAGGCUAUGUUGGCCGGGCGACGGUUGUCCCGGUUUAAGCGUGUAGGUGUGUGUUCCAGGUAAAUCCGGUUCACUUUAACACUGAGGCGUGACGACGAGGCACUACGGUGCUGAAGCAACAAAUGCCCUGCUUCCAGGAAAAGCCUCUAAGCAUCAGGUAACAUCAAAUCGUACCCCAAACCGACACAGGUGGUCAGGUAGAGAAUACCAAGGCGCUUGAGAGAACUCGGGUGAAGGAACUAGGCAAAAUGGUGCCGUAACUUCGGGAGAAGGCACGCUGACACGUAGGUGAAGUGAUUUACUCAUGGAGCUGAAGUCAGUCGAAGAUACCAGCUGGCUGCAACUGUUUAUUAAAAACACAGCACUGUGCAAACACGAAAGUGGACGUAUACGGUGUGACGCCUGCCCGGUGCCGGAAGGUUAAUUGAUGGGGUCAGCGCAAGCGAAGCUCCUGAUCGAAGCCCCGGUAAACGGCGGCCGUAACUAUAACGGUCCUAAGGUAGCGAAAUUCCUUGUCGGGUAAGUUCCGACCUGCACGAAUGGCGUAAUGAUGGCCAGGCUGUCUCCACCCGAGACUCAGUGAAAUUGAACUCGCUGUGAAGAUGCAGUGUACCCGCGGCAAGACGGAAAGACCCCGUGAACCUUUACUAUAGCUUGACACUGAACAUUGAGCCUUGAUGUGUAGGAUAGGUGGGAGGCUUUGAAGUGUGGACGCCAGUCUGCAUGGAGCCGACCUUGAAAUACCACCCUUUAAUGUUUGAUGUUCUAACGUGGACCCGUUACCCGGGUUGCGGACAGUGUCUGGUGGGUAGUUUGACUGGGGCGGUCUCCUCCUAAAGAGUAACGGAGGAGCACG
rnacentral:rRNA from 3 species